UUGCUUUGGCAGCACAUAUACUAAAAUUGUAGCAAAACAUGGUCCCUGUGCAAGGAGGACAUGCGAAUUAAUGAAGCGUUCCAUAGGGGA
rnacentral:snRNA from 1 species